UUUAAGUGCAAUCAUGAGGUUUCGUGCCCAACUUUGAUUGUCCGUUUAUUUGAAAUUUUUUUAUAAUUAAUAUUUUUAUUGUUAUAAGAUGAUAAAACAUGAAUAGUACUUUAUGUGUGACUUAUGUUUAUAAUUUUUUUCCAAAAAACUUUCAAUAAGACAGACGAUCAAAGUUGGACACAUAAAAUCAUGGCUACACUUAAA
rfam:Oryza glaberrima chromosome 11 Oglab11_0144_16, whole genome shotgun sequence.